AUUCCAUGAUGAGGGCACUUCCAUAGUAAUUCUUUGUACCUUUCCAUGCCUUAUAUUAGGACUCUUCAUCCAUUUUUUAGAAGGUAGUAAUUUCAUUCCGUAACU
rfam:Gossypium arboreum cultivar AKA8401 contig_21770_1, whole genome shotgun sequence.